rnacentral:rRNA from 1 species
CCUACGGGCGGCUGCAGUGAGGAAUAUUGGUCAAUGGACGAGAGUCUGAACCAGCCAAGUAGCGUGAAGGAUGACUGCCCUAUGGGUUGUAAACUUCUUUUAUAAAGGAAUAAAACGAGGCACGUGUGCCUUUUUGCAUGUACUUUAUGAAUAAGGAUCGGCUAACUCCGUGCCAGCAGCCGCGGUAAUACGGAGGAUCCGAGCGUUAUCCGGAUUUAUUGGGUUUAAAGGGAGCGUAGAUGGGUUGUUAAGUCAGUUGUGAAAGGUUGCGGCUCAACCGUAAAAUUGCAAUUGAUACUGGCAGUCUUGAGUACAGUUGAGGUAGGCGGAAUUCGUGGUGUAGCGGUGAAAUGCUUAGAUAUCACGAAGAACCCCGAUUGCGAAGGCAGCUUACUAAACUGUGACUGACAUUGAUGCUCGAAAGUGUGGGUAUCAAACAGGAUUAGAUACCCGGGUAGUC